GCCCGCAUGGAUUUUCCUGCACAAAUUUCACAAAAUUGCCACAGCAAACGGUAGUUUUAUUUUUUGGUACUUUUUGUUUGGCUUGGAUUUCCUUUUGCCGUUCGUAAUAGCGAUUUGGAAUCAAGUGAAAAAAAAAAUAGAGAUGCGGUAGUCAGUCGCAGUCGACAGCUUCCCACGCCAGAGGCCAUUGGCAAAGGUGUGGGUGAAGCCACGGAGGUAACACGAAAAGUUCAAAAUAAUUUCUUCAUUAAAAAAAAUAAGAGAGACAAUUGCAAAGAAAUGGCUGGGACAACAAUUGCGAUGGAAGCUGAACAAUUUUGGAUGAACAUUUUGGUAGCCAUAAACAAACCCGGCAGCUGCACGAAUAACUGUUAUUUAACUGUUGGCUAACAUGCAAUUAACCUCGCGUUAAAUACUAAAAAUACAAAAACCGAAGAAAAAUGCAAAUAUGUAUGUAUGAGGCAGCCUCUCGGUUCGGGUUCAGCUGCUCUUGAGAUGAGAUAAGCCCCUAAAAUUUGGAGCCCGAACUAUCCGUAAAUGUGGUGCAAUAACUUUCUAACCAGCCAAAGACUCGGGUUCAUUCAUCUUAAUUAUCACACGAUGAGGAAAAGCCACGAAAAUUAAACAAAAUGUUGCCUUAAUGCUUGGAAAUUCAUUAGGCAGAGCCCCCCAAAAAAUCACUCGUAAUAUAAUCAUAGUAUUUCCCCCCCGUGGAUGGUCUGCAGCUUCUGAAACACUGCCCGUUGACCCAUUUGCAUUGGCUUACCUACCCAUUGAGCGGAAGCAAAAGGCAGCGGCGCAGCUGUUCCCGCGCAGGAACGAAGUGAAGUCUUGGUAUUAGUACUGUGCGUGCGAUCCGGUCGCUACUGAUCUGGCGUUAACCCGUGAAAAGUCGGCUUACGACUGGAAGCCCCCGACAUGAAAAACUUCAAUUGAAGCGGCGCGAUCGCAUGUCAAGGCAGCAGCAGGCUGGGGCUACGUCGGGGCUGGCGUCAGUGAGUGGAGGAGGAGGAGGAGUGGUGGUGACCCUUUCCAGGUGCGGAAGUGGCCUGGCAGUGGGUAUAUUAGGCAAGCUGAUCGAAAAGUCCAGGGAAUGCUAUUAAUGCGUUAUCGUAGUCAUGCAUAUCGAUAACUUGGCUUUUUGGAAACAUUACACUACACCUACUACCUGUCUGAUAUAAGAGACACUGAAGAGACGCUGAAUCCUGCUAAAAAAGAGAGACUCGGCUAUCAGUCUAUGGCACUAUUUGUACCAGGCUAACUUUGACGUUUAGAUAUGUAGGAGAGGUAGCUUAAAAUAGUGUCAUA